CCUACGGGGGGCUGCAGUGGGGAAUAUUGGACAAUGGGGGGAACCCUGAUCCAGCCAUGCCGCGUGUGUGAAGAAGGCCCUCGGGUUGUAAAGCACUUUCAGUGAGGAAGAACGCCUGGUGGUUAAUACCCAUCAGGAAAGACUUCACUCACAGAAGAAGCACCGGCUAACUCCGUGCCAGCAGCCGCGGUAAUACGGAGGGUGCGAGCGUUAAUCGGAAUUACUGGGCGUAAAGCGCGCGUAGGUGGCUUGAUAAGCCGGUUGUGAAAGCCCCGGGCUCAACCUGGGAACGGCAUCCGGAACUGUCAAGCUAGAGUGCAGGAGAGGAAGGUAGAAUUCCCGGUGUAGCGGUGAAAUGCGUAGAGAUCGGGAGGAAUACCAGUGGCGAAGGCGGCCUUCUGGACUGACACUGACACUGAGGUGCGAAAGCGUGGGUAGCAAACAGGAUUAGAUACCCGUGUAGUC
rnacentral:rRNA from 1 species